rnacentral:SRP_RNA from 1 species
AAUCUGUCACGGAUAACCUAGUGGAAGGCUAGUCGCUAGGCUGGUUCCCUUGCUUCGGUGCAAACCAGCAGGGACUGGUGCCUGGUUCGAAUCCUGGGGUCGUCGCUGUACUCGUGCGAGUAAUCCACGAUGCUACACGGCGCUAAGCAAUGAAAGUGACCCUUGAGGGAAGCAAUUCUGCAAAGACACUUUCACCCUGGGAUGGCGUUACCAGAAUACACCGCCCUGUUACAAGAGAGCUAGCCGUUUGGCUGGACAACCGUAUCUCUUUU